AUUGAACGCUGGCGGAAUGCUUUACACAUGCAAGUCGAACGGCAGCACGGACUUCGGUCUGGUGGCGAGUGGCGAACGGGUGAGUAAUGUAUCGGAACGUGCCCAGUCGUGGGGGAUAACGUAGUGAAAAUUACGCUAAUACCACAUACGAUCUAUGGAUGAAAGCGGGGGAUCGCAAGACCUCGCGCGAUUGGAGCGGCCGAGAUCAGAUUAGGUAGUUGGUGGGGUAAAGGCCCACCAAGCCAACGAUCUGUAGCUGGUCUGAGAGGACGACCAGCCACACUGGAACUGAGACACGGUCCAGACUCCUACGGGAGGCAGCAGUGGGGAAUUUUGGACAAUGGGCGAAAGCCUGAUUCAGCCAUUCCGCGUGCAGGAUGAAGGCCCUCGGGUUGUAAACUGCUUUUGUACAGAACGAAAAGGUUUCUACUAAUACUAGGAGCUCAUGACGGUACUGUAAGAAUAAGCACCGGCUAACUACGUGCCAGCCGCCGCCGUAA
rnacentral:rRNA from 1 species